CUUGAACUCACUUUGUAGCCCAGGCUGGGCUCAAACUCACAGUGAUCCUCCUGCCUCUGCUUCCUGAGUGCUGGGAU
rnacentral:miRNA from 1 species